AUAACAAUACAGGACUCUUUAGAGGCCCUGUAAUUGUAAUGAGUCCACUUGAAAUCCUUUAACUCUGAUCAAUUGGAGGGCAAGUCUGGUGAAUGGCGACUGACCCGUGCGUGCUGCAGCUGAAACUCCAC